UCCGGCUGAUCCUGCCGGAGGUCACUGCUAUUCGGAUAUGGCUAAGCCAUGCAAGUUAUGGGUUAAACCAUAGCGUAAAGCUCAGUAACACGUAGUUAACCUGCCCUUAGGUCUGUCAUAAUCUCGGGAAACUGAGGCUAACGUCAGAUAGGCAAUAAAAUCUGGAAUGAUUUAUUGCUGAACUAAGGAUGGGACUGCGGAAGAUUAGCUUGUUGUCAGGAUAAAAACCUGACAAGGCGAUAAUCUUUACGAGCCUUGAGAGAGGAAGCUCGGAGAUGGAUUCUGAGACAACAAUCCAGGUCCUACGGGACGCAGCAGGCGCGAAACUUUCCCAAUGCACGCAAGUGUGAGGAAGAUAUCUGAAGUGCUCUCUCUUAGGAGGGGGCUUUUCUGGAGUCCAGAACGCUCCAGGAAUAAGGGGUGGGUAAGACGGGUGCCAGCCGCCGCGGUAAUACCCGCGCCCCAAGUGGUGACCGCGUUUAUUGGGCUUAAAGCGUUCGUAGCCGGUUUUGCAAGUUCCCAGUGAAAUCGAUUGGUAAACCAAUCGGCUGGCUGGGGAUACUGCAUUGCUUGGAACCGGGAGAGGUUAGAGGUACUCCAGGGGUAAGGGUAAAAUCUUAUAAUCCCUGGGGGACCACCUGUGGCGAAGGCGUCUAACUAGAACGGAUUCGACGGUGAGGGACGAAAGCUAGGGGAGCGAACCGGAUUAGAUACCCGGGUAGUCCUAGCUGUAAACUAUGCCCACUAGACAUCGGAAAUCUUACGGGGGUUUCCGGAGUCGUAGGGAAACCGUUAAGUGGGCCGCCUGGGGAGUACGGUCGCAAGGCUGAAACUUAAGGGAAUUGGCGGGGGAGCACACAAGGGGUGGAGGCUGCGGUUCAAUUCGACUCAACGCGGGGAACCUUACCAGAGGCGACAGCAGUAUGAAGGUCAGACUUAAGAUCUUACCAGACACGCUGAGAAGUAGUGCAUGGCCGUCGUCAGUUCGUGCCGUGAGGUGUCGUCUUAAGUGACGUAACGAACAAGACCCACGCUCAAUGUUGCUAACCAAUUCUAUUGGUGCACUCAUUGAGGACCGCUGACGAUAAGUCCGAGGAAGGUGUGGUCGACGGCAGGUCCGUAUGCCCUGAAUCCUCUGGGAUACACGCGGCCUACAAUGGAUGGUACAAUGAGAUGCGACACCGAAAGGUGAAGCUAAUCUCGAAAACCAUCCCCAGUUCAGAUCGAGGGUUGCAACUCACCCUCGUGAAGCCGAAACCCCUAGUAGUCGCUGGUUAGCAUCUAGCGGCGAAUACGUUCCUGCUCCUUGCACACACUGCCCGUCAAGCCAUCCGAGUGAAGUCUUGGUGAGGUUUUUUCUUCGGAAACGAUCGAACCAGGUUUUUGCAAGGAGGGCUAAGUCGUAACAAGGUA
rnacentral:rRNA from 1 species